GAUCCUGGCUCAGGAUGAACGCUAGCGACAGGCUUAACACAUGCAAGUCGAGGGGCAGCACGGUGUAGCGAUACACUGGUGGCGACCGGCGCACGGGUGAGUAACACGUGUGCAACCAACCCCGUACCGGGAGAUAACCCGCGGAAACGUGGACUAACAUCCCAUGAGACUCUAGAGCCGCAUGGCUCUAGAUUUAAAAUUCCGGUGGUACGGGACGGGCACGCGCGACAUUAGGUAGUUGGCGGGGUAACGG
rnacentral:rRNA from 1 species